GUUCCCAGCUUCUGAGUGAGGAGCUUCUGUAACAUCCAGCUGGAGACUAACUUUGUUAGAUUUGGUGUUUCUAGGGAACGAGGACUGUUGGCAGAAUGUUUUCUGCCACUCACUCAGUUCUUGUCAUCCUCUUAAUACUUGGAGGGACCAAUGGUGACUCCGUGAACCAGACAGAAGGCCCAGUGACUGUCUCAGAGGGGGCUCUCAUGACCCUGAACUGCACUUACCAGACCACAUAUUCAGAUUCCUAUCUUUUUUGGUAUGUCCAGCAUCUCAACAAAGCUCCUCAACUUCUCCUGAAGGGCUCAACGACAAACCAGAGGCCAGAGCAUGAAGGUUUUCAGGCCACUCUUGUUCAGAGUGACAGCUCCUUCCACCUGCAGAAACGGGCCGUGCAAGCAUCAGACUCGGCUGUGUACUACUGUGCUCUGAGUGACACAGUGACGCAGGGCUGCGGGGGAGCUGAGCACAAACCCAAGGGGAGCAGGAGGCUGAAGUCAGGAAGAGCUAUAUUCUCUCCUUGA